rnacentral:rRNA from 1 species
GACGAACGCUGGCGGCGUGCUUAACACAUGCAAGUCGAACGAAGAGCGAUGGAAGCUUGCUUCUCUCAAUCUUAGUGGCGAACGGGUGAGUAACGCGUAAUCAACCUGCCCUUCAGAGGGGGACAACAGUUGGAAACGACUGCUAAUACCGCAUACGAUCUAAUCUCGGCAUCGAGGAUAGAUGAAAGGUGGCCUCUACAUGUAAGCUAUCACUGAAGGAGGGGAUUGCGUCUGAUUAGCUAGUUGGAGGGGUAACGGCCCACCAAGGCGAUGAUCAGUAGCCGGUCUGAGAGGAUGAACGGCCACAUUGGGACUGAGACACGGCCCAGACUCCUACGGGAGGCAGCAGUGGGGAAUCUUCCGCAAUGGACGAAAGUCUGACGGAGCAACGCCGCGUGAGCGAUGACGGCCUUCGGGUUGUAAAGCUCUGUUAAUCGGGACGAAAGGCCUUCUUGCGAAUAGUGAGAAGGAUUGACGGUACCGGAAGAGAAAGCCACGGCUAACUACGUG